GAAAGGGUGUUAAAAUUCUGGAUCACAUGUGGACCCGGGAAGGUUUUCUCACCCUCUGUUAGUGACAUCGAGUCUCCCACUAGACAAAAAUAGGUGGAAAAAUCUCUCGAGGGCUCACAUUGUUUUGUCAUCUUCAGGAAAAACACCACCAGGCCAUACCACAGCCUGCCCAGUGAGGCGGUCUUUGCCAACAGCACCGGGAUGCUGGUGGUGGCCUUUGGGCUGCUGGUGCUCUACAUCCUUCUGGCUUCAUCUUGGAAGCGCCCAGAGCCGGGGAUCCUGACCGACAGACAGCCCCUGCUGCAUGAUGGGGAGUGAAGCAGCAGGAAGGGGCUCCCAAGAGCUCCUGGUGGUGCAGCCUGUGCUCCCCUCAGAAGCUCUGCUCUUCCCAGGGCUCCUGGCUGGUUUCAGCAGGCGACUUUCUUCGAAUGCUGGGCCCAGACUUCUUGCCUGGGUGCUGGCCUGCCCUCUCCGGCCACUUGCUGCCUGUCUGCUUUCCUUGGUGGCUUUGCCUGGGUGCUGGGCCUGCCCUCUCCGGCCGCUUGCUGCCUGUCUGCUUUCCUUGGUGGCUUUGCCUGGGUGCUGGGCCUGCCCUCUCCGGCCGCUUGCUGCCUGUCUGCUUUCCUUGGUGGCUUUGGCUUCUGCACUCCUUGGCGUCAGCCUCUCAGGUCCUCCAUUCACACGAGGUCCUCCUCGCUCUGGCCGCUCUUGCUGCUCCUGUCUGAAGAAAUCAGACUGAUUUCCUCUUAAGACUCCUAGGGAUGUGGUGAAGAGCUGGGACUCAAGUGCAGUCCACGGUGUGAAACAUGAGGGAGGUGAGGUGUCCGUCCACUUCCCCCAUAAAGGUGUGCAUUUCAGUUAGGCUGCCCCGCCACAGAGCAGGCUUCAUCUGCUCUGCCAUCCAGCCCCAUCUGGAUGUGAGGUGGGGUGGAGACAUCAUGGGGUGAUUGCAGAAAGGGGGAGUGGCGGCCCACGCAGCUUCUGCUGAGGAGCUGACUGCUCUGAGCUGUUCUGUUUCGUAUUGCUGCUCUGUGUCUGCAUGUAUUGUGACCAUGCGGCUCCACCUCUUCCAGCUGCUGCUACAGCUGAGGCCUGGAUCCCGGCCUUUCCCUGUGACUUACGUGUCUGUCACCGGCAGGCAGCCCUACAAAUCCUGGUGACCUGCUCUCCCAAGAACAGAGCCUGUCCCCAGAUGUCCCAGUAGCGAUGAGUAACAGAGGUGGCUGUGGACUUCCUUUACUUCUCCUUGCUGGAUCAGGGCCUUCCUGCCUCCCACUGGGCAGGUCCGGCCUUGCUCUCUUGGCAGGGCCCCAGCCCCUCUGACCACUCUGCAGCUCACCAUGCAACUGAUGCCAAAGUUGUGGUGUCCUGUGUGCAGCAGCCCUGGGAGCCACUGCCACCUUCAGAGGGGUUCCUUGCUGAGACCCACAUUGCUUCACCUGCCCCCACCAUGGCUGCUUGCCUGGCCCAACCUAGCGUUCUGUGCCAUGCUAGAGCUUGAGCUGUUGCUCUUCUUCAGGGGAGGAAAUAGGGUGGGGAGCGGGAAGGGUCUUGCUCCUCUCCUAAGUGUUGCUGCUGUGGCUUUUUUGCCUUCUCCAAAGACGCACUGCCAGGUCCCAAGCUUCAGACUGCUGUGCUUAGUAAGCAAGUGAGAAGCCUGGGGUUUGGAGCCCACCUACUCUCUGGCAGCAUCAGCAUCCUACUCCUGGCAACAUCAGGCCAACGUCCACCCCAGCCUCACAUUGCCAGAUGUUGGCAGAAGGGCUAAUAUUGACCGUCUUGACUGGCUGGAGCCUUCAAAGCCACUGGGAUGUCCUCCAGGCACCUGGGUC
rnacentral:sRNA from 1 species